AUUGAACGCUGGCGGCAUGCCUUACACAUGCAAGUCGAACGGCAGCACGGGAGCAAUCCUGGUGGCGAGUGGCGAACGGGUGAGUAAAGUAUCGGAACGUGCCCAGUCGUGGGGGAUAACGUAGCGAAAGUUACGCUAAUACCGCAUACGAUCUAUGGAUGAAAGCGGGGGAUCGCAAGACCUCGCGCGAUUGGAGCGGCCGAUAUCAGAUUAGGUAGUUGGUGGGGUAAAGGCUCACCAAGCCGACCAUCUGUAGCUGGUCUGAGAGGACGACCAGCCACACUGGGACUGAGACACGGCCUAGACUCCUACGGGAGGCAGCAGUGGGGAAUUUUGGACAAUGGGCGCAAGCCUGAUCCAGCCAUGCCGCGUGCAGGAUGAAGGCCUUCGGGUUGUAAACUGCUUUUGUACGGAACGAAAAGGUUUGACUUAAUACGUUGGACUCAUGACGGUACCGUAAGAAUAAGCACCGGCUAACUACGUGCCAGCCGCCGCGGUAA
rnacentral:rRNA from 1 species